CCGCCCUCACCGGUCGCCGCCGCCGUCGCUUUCCCCUACAUGGCCGGAGGAUAGGCCAUCCCGCCGGUCCAUUCCCGCCCCACCCCCAUCCCGCGCGUGGAAUCCCCUUUGACUCCCAGCCGCCCCCGCCGACGCCCACCAGCCGCGCCUUCCGGCGGGCCGCCUCGUGUCGCCCGAUCCGCCACCCGUCCCGCAUCCUCACCCAGGUUCGUCCGGAGCUCCUCCUCCUCCCACCGAUACUGCCUCUGCUUGCUUGCGAUUGCCGCUGGAUCUGCGCUUGCUGCCGGUCCGGUGGCGUUCGAGGUCAGGGACAAGCUGGCCUCGCUCAAGGCCGACGACUGGGUGCGUGUCGUGGCCGUGUUUGUUCUCGGAAAAGAGUGGCAGUUCAAGGAUUGGCCCUUCAAGGGCCAUGUCGACAUCUUCAACAAAGGGAUAAGAUCCCAUCGCGGACUGAACAUCGUCCACCGCUCGAUGUGGCCGAUGGCUGCCGUGCGCUUGUGAACCGAAUGUCUAGCUGCAGUCCUUUGGAUGUUUAUUGGGUUCUUUGUAUGCUUUGAAGAUGAUAGUGUCGAUUCAGCAAAAGUGGUCAAACAGUGGAAUGUCAAAAUCAUAUCUAUAAGCAAGAAUAAAAGGCAUCAAGACAGACCGGCUGCUCUGGAGGUGUGGGAUCGGCUGGAUGAAUUUGUGCGGGCACGCUCAUAGUUCAAUGUAGUUCUUUGUGCUAUGGACUUAUCAAGCAUUUGACGACCAAGAUAUAGUGCACGGGGAGUCCUGCAGAUAACUGGGACUAAGGCUUCACUUCAAAUAUGCAUGAUGAUAUCAGAUUGUGCUAUCCAAGUUGGUUUUAUAACAAGAGAAGCCAUCAUAGUGUGCAACUUCCUUAUUGUCAUGUUUCAGUAAUUCACACUGGUAGUAUUAGUAUUAGUUGUUGGCUUCUUGCUGUUGCUUUAUUACUGUGAGAAGUAUCCAGAAAUGGUAUCAACUACUAGCAUCUUGACAUUGUUAUUUUAAUUAAUUUGGGAUUCACAUGUGUCUAUAUAUUGUUUAUUUGAAUAGGACGCUUCAGGAUUUGCUAAGUGUAACCUUUUCAGUUCUACUAUGUUCAUAGUAGGUUUUUCCUUUAUGCAAGUUAAACUGUUCCAACUUCUUGCUAGAAGUGGUCAUGUAAUGUCAUCAUUGAGCUUACAUGUUGUAAUUUUUAUGGUCUGUCAGACAUAUCACCGGUAAUGAGAUAAUGAACCCGUGGUGGCAAC